AUUCCAGAGAUGGAUUGGUGCCUUCGGGAACUGUGAGACAGGUGCUGCAUGGCUGUCGUCAGCUCGUGUUGUGAAAUGUUGGGUUAAGUCCCGCAACGAGCGCAACCCUUAUCCUUUGUUGCCAGCGGUUAGGCCGGGAACUCAAAGGAGACUGCCAGUGAUAAACUGGAGGAAGGUGGGGAUGACGUCAAGUCAUCAUGGCCCUUACGACCAGGGCUACACACGUGCUACAAUGGCGCAUACAAAGAGAAGCGACCU
rnacentral:rRNA from 1 species